rnacentral:rRNA from 1 species
CCUACGGGAGGCAGCAGUGAGGAAUAUUGGUCAAUGGACGAGAGUCUGAACCAGCCAAGUAGCGUGAAGGCUGACUGCCCUAUGGGUUGUAAACUUCUUUUAUAUGGGAAUAAAACGUUCCACGUGUGGGAUUUUGUAUGUACCAUAUGAAUAAGGAUCGGCUAACUCCGUGCCAGCAGCCGCGGUAAUACGGAGGAUCCGAGCGUUAUCCGGAUUUAUUGGGUUUAAAGGGAGCGUAGGUGGAUUGUUAAGUCAGUUGUGAAAGUUUGCGGCUCAAACGUAAAAUUGCAGUUGAAACUGGCAGUCUUGAGUACAGUAGAGGUGGGCGGAAUGCGUGGUGUAGCGGUGAAAUGCUUAGAUAUCACGAAGAACUCCGAUUGCGAAGGCAGUUCACUGGACUGCAACUGACACUGAGGCUCGAAAGUGUGGGUAUCAAACAGGAUUAGAUACCCGGGUAGUC